rnacentral:tRNA from 1 species
AGCCUAGUAGCGUAAUGGUAACGCGUCAGACUUCUAAUCUGAAGAUUGCGAGUUCGAGUCUCGUCUGGGCUA